ACUGCUCAGUAACACGUCGAUAACCUGCCCUAUGGUCUGGGAUAAGCUCGGGAAACUGAGUGUAAUAUCGGAUAGGGGAACGACACUGGAACGUGCGUUCCUUCAACAUAGGAUGGGUCGGCGGUGGAUUAGGCAGUUGGUGGGGUAAUGGCCCACCAAACCUUUGAUCCAUACGGGCCAUGAGAGUGGUAGCCCGGAGAGGGACACUGGAAUACUGGUCCCAGCCCUACGGGGUGCAGCAGGCGCGAAACCUCCACAAUGCACGAAAGUGUGAUGGGGGGAUCCUCCGUGCUCAUGUUACGCAUGGGCUUUUGCCAAGAUUAGACCUCUUGGCGAAUAAGGGGUGGGCAAGACCGGUGCCAGCCGCCGCGGUAACACCGGCGCCCCAAGUGGCAAUCGCGUUUAUUGGGCCUAAAGCGUCCGUAGCCGGACUGAUAAAUCCGCUGUGAAAUGGUUGCGCUCAACGUAACCGCGUGCAGUGGAGACUGUCAGUCUCGAGACCGGGAGGAGCAAGAGGUAUGCCGUGGGGACUGGUAAAAUGGUAUAAUCCGCGGUAGACCACCGAUGGCGAAGGCAUCUCGCCAGAACGGAUCUGACGGUGAGGGACGAAAGCCAGGGGAGCGAACCGGAUUAGAUACCCGAGUAGUCCUGGCCGUAAACGCUGUGAGCUAGGUGUUGCCCAUCCUACGAGGAUGGGCAGUGUCGAAACGAAGGUGCUAAGCUCACCGCCUGGGAAGUACGGUCGCAAGACUGAAACUUAAAGGAAUUGGCGGGGGAG
rnacentral:rRNA from 1 species